CUUUGGGCAUCCAAUGAUCAUCAUACUAAUAGACCUAUUAUCACCCAACUUAAUGAGAGGCUAUGAUUUAGUUAUCACCAUAACUAUCUCAUUUUAGAGACCUAAUAAUUUAGAGAAUUUAAUUUAUGAAUAAGAGAAGAGAAGAGAUCAACCAGUAAACCACAAUCCUCCCACUGACUUCAUCAAGUCAUUGAAUUAGAUUAGUGUCAUGCUGAUUGAAAUGGCACCUAGAUCAAUCACAUUGAUCAACCUUAAUGGCAUGGGUCAACUUGAAUUACUUAGCAGUCUAAUCAAAACAUAAUCCACUAAAUUAGCUAGGUAAGUG
rnacentral:lncRNA from 1 species